UAUUUGUACUAAACCCUAAACCCUAAACCCUAAACCCUAAACCCUAAACACUCUUAAUAGAUUUAUGGUUGUGAACACUCAUUUGUCAUAGUAGAACACUCUUAGAGCUUAAUAGAACACUCUUAUCAGGUUUACAGUUACGAAUAUGUAUGCAUUGCAAUCUUAUCCUCUUAUGCCUUAAUAGAACAGCCCUAUUAGUUUUAGGGUUGUGAAUACUUUUAUACCAUAAUAGAACACUUGUAGAGGUUAAUAGAACACUCUUAAUAGGUUUAUGGUUGUGAACACUCAUUUGUCAUAGUAGAACACUCUUAGGCCGCGUUUGGUUGGAGAACUAAAUUUUGGAGAACAACUUUUGUUGUUCCCGAGAACAAGGGAUAUUCUGGUACAAGAUAGAACAAUUGUAAAUUUAUGUUUGGAUGCAUUCGAGGAUAUUCUAGAGGAUAUCCUUAAUAGCGUUUGUAUAAAAAGUCUAGAACAACGUCUAAAUAUGUUUUUAAAAAUAAAAUAAUUAAUUUAUAUUAUUAUAUUUUAUAUAAAAUUAUUUCAUAUAAAAAUUUAUAAUAUAAUAUUUUAUGUAAGAAUCUAAUUUAAAAUAGUAUAUUUUAUUUUAUUAUAUAUAAUAAUUUAUUUUAUGUAAUAAUUUAUUUUAUAUAAUUUAUUCAUAAUAUAUUAAUGAAUAAAGUAUAAUACUAACAAUAUCCCUAUAUUUUUAAUUAAUAAUUAGUAUAAAUUUUAAUACAAAUAAAAAAUAUAUAUAUAAUUAAAUAUUAAAGUAUAAAUGAUAGAGUUUAAUAAAAUAAAAAAUAUAUCAAAUUUAAUUAAUUUAUAUUAUAUAAUAAAAUUUAAGUAUAAAUAUAUUAUCAUAAAAAUUUAAGUAUGAAUUUCAAUACAUAUUAAAAUAUAUAUAUAAUAUAUGAAAAAAUGAUUUUAUGUAUAUAAUACUUAAUAUAAAAUAAAAUAAUUAAAUAUUAAUAUAUAAAUGAUAAAACUUAAUAAAAUAAAAUAUAUAUCAAAUUUAAUUAAUUUAUAUUAUAUAAUAAAAUUUAAGUAUAAAUAUAUUAUCAUAAAAAUAAUAUUUAUAUUAAUAUAUUUAUUUAUUAAAUUUGAGCAUUCAGUUAAUUUAUUAUUUGAAAUUAAUUAAAAUAAAGUAUAAAAAAAAGAGCAUAAUAGAAAAAAAAA
rnacentral:lncRNA from 1 species